rnacentral:rRNA from 1 species
UACGAAGGGGGCUAGCGUUGUUCGGAAUUACUGGGCGUAAAGCGUGCGCAGGCGGCUUCUCAAGUCAGGGGUGAAAGCCCCGGGCUUAACCUGGGAAUUGCAUUUGAUACUCUGGUGCUUGAGUACGGGAGAGGAGAGUGGAAUUCCCAGUGUAGAGGUGAAAUUCGUAGAUAUUGGGAAGAACACCGGUGGCGAAGGCGGCUCUCUGGACCGUAACUGACGCUGAGGCGCGAAAGCGUGGGGAGCAAACAGG